rnacentral:rRNA from 1 species
UACGUAGGGGGCGAGCGUUGUCCGGAUUUAUUGGGCGUAAAGAGCGUGUAGGCGGCUAGGCAGGUCGGUUGUGAAAACUGGAGGCUUAACCUUCAGACGUCGACCGAAACCAUCUGGCUAGAGUCCGGAAGAGGAGAGUGGAAUUCCUGGUGUAGCGGUGAAAUGCGUAGAGAUGGGGGAGAACACUCGUGGCGAAGGCGGCCAGCUAGACCAGUUCUGACACUGAGGCGCGACAGCGUGGGGAGCAAACAGG